rnacentral:rRNA from 1 species
UGGGGAAUAUUGGACAAUGGGCGAAAGCCUGAUCCAGCAAUGCCGCGUGAGUGAUGAAGGCCUUAGGGUUGUAAAGCUCUUUUACCCGGGAUGAUAAUGACAGUACCGGGAGAAUAAGCCCCGGCUAACUCCGUGCCAGCAGCCGCGGUAAUACGGAGGGGGCUAGCGUUGUUCGGAAUUACUGGGCGUAAAGCGCGCGUAGGCGGCUUUGUAAGUUAGAGGUGAAAGCCCGAAGCUCAACUUCGGAAUUGCCUUUAAGACUGCAUCGCUAGAAUCGUGGAGAGGUGAGUGGAAUUCCGAGUGUAGAGGUGAAAUUCGUAGAUAUUCGGAAGAACACCAGUGGCGAAGGCGACUCACUGGACACGUAUUGACGCUGAGGUGCGAAAGCGUGGGGAGCAAACA